rnacentral:rRNA from 1 species
GAUGAACGCUGGCGGCGUGCCUAAUACAUGCAAGUCGAGCGAACAGACGAGGAGCUUGCUCCUCUGACGUUAGCGGCGGACGGGUGAGUAACACGUGGAUAACCUACCUAUAAGACUGGGAUAACUUCGGGAAACCGGAGCUAAUACCGGAUAAUAUAUUGAAGCGCAUGGUUCAAUAGUGAAAGACGGUUUUGCUGUCACUUAUAGAUGGAUCCGCGCCGCAUUAGCUAGUUGGUAAGGUAACGGCUUACCAAGGCAACGAUGCGUAGCCGACCUGAGAGGGUGAUCGGCCACACUGGAACUGAGACACGGUCCAGACUCCUACGGGAGGCCGCGGUAGGGAAUCUUCCGCGAUGGGCGAAAGCUUGACGGAGCAACGCCGCGUGAGUGAUGAAGGUCUUCGGAUCGUAAAACUCUGUUAUUAGUGAAGAACAAAUGUGUAAGUAGCUAUGCACGUCUUGACGGUACCUAAUCAGAAAGCCACGGCUAACUACGUG